rnacentral:rRNA from 1 species
CUCCACCGGAAAAAGANGAGUGGCGAACGGGUGAGUAACACGUGGGUAACCUGCCCAUCAGAAGGGGAUAACACUUGGAAACAGGUGNUAAUACCGUAUAACAAUCAAAACCGCAUGGUUUNGAUUUGAAAGGCGCUUUCGGGUGUCGCUGAUGGAUGGACCCGCGGUGCAUUAGCUAGUUGGUGAGGUAACGGCUCACCAAGGCCACGAUGCAUAGCCGACCUGAGAGGGUGAUCGGCCACAUUGNGACUGAGACACGNCCCAAACUCNUACGGGAGGCAGCAGUAGGGAAUCUUCGGCAAUGGACGAAAGUCUGACCGAGCAACGCCGCGUGAGUGAAGAAGGNUUUCG